UCAUCAUCCUCAACAUCAUAUAUCCCAUUUUAUAUACAGUAUGUACAGACGUGUAUUAACAGCUAUCAUUUCUCUACAUGGAUUCAUUCAUAAGGUAACUGAACAAUAGCACUGUAACAAAACAUAUCACUGAUAUUCUGCAGGGAUGCUGUAAUUAGUGCAAAUGUGCGCAAAAAAAA